rnacentral:rRNA from 1 species
UCUAAUACCGGCGACGAUCCGCCGUAGGCCUACGUCCUUUCGUUUUCUUGUAGAGAGAGGACCUGGUAUACUAGACCUGAAAUGAUCGGCGAACUACGUUCAGUUGCGUUGUAUCAAAAGAGAGAAGAAACAAGAGCAAGACGACAAGAGGAACGUCUUGCAGUGUGUGUGUAAAGAGCAGACGCAUAGUUUGAGGUUACCGUAGCGUCCUGCGGCCGUCGUGGUCGAGCAUCGUGAGACGGCAGCAUCGUUGAGGCCACCGAACCGUCGUGGCCGAGCGUCGUGCCGCCGCGGCAGCGUCGUAGUGGUCUCGUUGGGCUCGGCGGUAGCGUCGAGCGGCCUCAUCGGGCUAGGCCACCUCGUUGUUGGCAACGUCGUAGGUAGCGUCGUUGCAGCAGCGCCGGCUCUACAGCAGCCUCGUGUUGUCGCGGUAGCGUCAUGGUGGGCAACGUUCGUAGCAGCCAACCGCGGUGAGCGUCGUUGGAGCGGCACCUGACAGCGUCGUGCUGCCGCCGCCGCGUGGCCGAACGUUCGUGCCGCGGCGACGUAGUGCUACCACUGCAGAAUCGUGCGGAGCGUCGUUGACGUCGUACCACAAUCCUAGGUAGUUCCUACCUCCUUCCCUCGUCCCUCCCUCCCUAACCUCGAGCGUCGUGACCCACCGGGGGAGGCCGGAACGUCGCCGCUCUAGGUGGACGCCCUCACGAGCUCACGCACCUUUUUAGUACCUCCCUCGUGCGGCGGCUGCCUCUCUGCUCACCAAUCUUAACCCCUUCCUAUUCCGACAUGACACGCCUCUAUAAAAAGGUGCCCUCUCUCUUUCCCCACACCCAGGGUGUUCUGCGCACAGCACGCCCGCUCCGUCGACAGCUCGUUCGGGACGUAGGCCUACUGUGUUUCCUCAAAAGUAUCUAAUAGAGGCCAUGUAACAGUCGAUACAUGCAUGUAUCUUCACUGCCACCGGUCGAACACGAAUUACAACUCAGUGUUCGUGUACAUAACGUGCGAAAACAGUUGUGACCCAUGUAUCUAUCCAAGAAGUAGAACCGUAAAUGGAAUCGCGUGUACCCAAAGCUUAGUCGAAGCAGAUCUACCUGUCCGAAGAGCAUCCAUGCCUGCGCACGCACUGUUCGGCACAGGAAAGAAUAAGAUGCACCGCGGGUCAUGCUCGAGGCGGGCGCUGCACAGGACGGGCGCCCGAGAUAGGCUUUCAGGUCACAAACAAACUCGUCGUCGGUACCGGAGGUUGGUCCUGUUCCGUUCGAUGGCGCGGCCGCUCCGGUUCCGGGUGUGGCUCCUCUUCCGGCCUGUCCACUGGCCGCGCUGGUUCCUGUUCCGCACGCUCCGGUUCCUGGCCCGCACACUGCGCUGCCCCUUCCCCGUCCCGCGGCACCUCCGGUGCUUCGUCUUCCGGCCGCUCCGUCCCGUCUUCUGCAGGCUCUGCCGGGUCCGGCGGUUCCUGGCCCGGCGGCUCCCGUUCCUGGUCUGGCCGUCGAUGGAGCCGGCGUGCCGGCUCCGCCGGUUCGUCUUCCGGAGGCUCCGCUGCCCCAUGUGCGUCCUGUCCCGGAGGCUGCGCCGCGUCAUGUGGUUCCUGAGGCGGCAGCGGCCGUUCCUGUUCUGGCCGUCGCAGGAGUCGGUCCGGCCGCUCGUUCACUUCUUGCGCCACCAGCCGCGCUUUCUGCGCCACCGCUCGUGCGACCCCUACCCCCCUCUGUCGUGGAGGUCGCUUUGGUUCCUGCGCUCGUGGUGGCUCUGGUAGUGUUUCUCGGCGGUGAUCUAUAUAUGGACAGCGCCAACGUAUUACGAAAGAAAGGAAAAUCAAGGAGACCUCGAGGUGUAAGGACACCACACAGGCUCAGGCAUACAGC